rnacentral:rRNA from 1 species
UACAGAGGAUGCAAGCGUUAUCCGGAAUGAUUGGGCGUAAAGCGCACGUAGGUGGUUUGUUAAGUCGGGUGUGAAAGCCCUGGGCUCAACCCAGGAAGUGCACUCGAAACUGGCAGACUUGAGUACUGAAGAGGAUCGCGGAAUUCCCGGUGUAGAGGUGAAAUUCGUAGAUAUCGGGAGGAACACCAGUGGCGAAGGCGGCGACCUGGGCAGAUACUGACACUGAGGUGCGAAAGCGUGGGGAGCAAACAGG